UGCCAAUGAGAUGUAAACACAUGUGGAUUCAGGUUCUCUGCUGAGAGUGAGUGUCCACCUUGUUUGGCAGCCAUGGAUGUUCAGAUUGGAAUGAGGAUCCAGAAACCUUCCAUUUCUUGGCAUUUCCCUCACAGCCUUGACUGACCUCCAAGUGUCUCCCUGAUGGGAAAGUCCCUUCCUGUCAGGAAUCAGCUGUUCCUGAGAGUGCUGUCCUCCAACGGGACAAGGAACAGAGAGGCGAGCUGUCACCUGAGAUCCUGACAAGAGUCGCCAAUCUGCCAGGUGCUGAUGCCAUCACGGCACUGGCCUUGCAUUUUCUUACCUCGUCCUCCCCACCACAAGCAGGUAAGAAAUUUGGUCAGUUAACAACAGUCUGUUAAACUGCAGCAUGAUUUGACAGAAUACAACCAAAAAGGACAUGAUCACAUGCAUCAUUAAGG